UACAUAGGGAGCAAGCGUUAUCCGGAUUUAUUGGGUGUAAAGGGUGCGUAGACGGGAAAUUAAGUUAGUUGUGAAAUCCCUCGGCUUAACUGAGGAACUGCAACUAAAACUGAUUUUCUUGAGUACUGGAGAGGAAAGUGGAAUUCCUAGUGUAGCGGUGAAAUGCGUAGAUAUCGGGAGGAACACCAGUGGCGAAGGCGGCCUACUGGGCACUAACUGACGCUGAGGCUCGAAAGCAUGGGUAGCAAACAGG
rnacentral:rRNA from 1 species